UACAGAGGUCCCAAGCGUUGUUCGGAUUCACUGGGCGUAAAGGGUGCGUAGGCGGUCGGAUAAGUCUGAUGUGAAAUCUCACAGCUUAACUGUGAAACUGCAUUGGAUACUAUCCGGCUCGAGGAAUGGAGGGGAGACUGGAAUACUUGGUGUAGCAGUGAAAUGCGUAGAUAUCAAGUGGAACACCAGUGGCGAAGGCGAGUCUCUGGACAUUUCCUGACGCUGAGGCACGAAAGCCAGGGGAGCAAACGGG
rnacentral:rRNA from 1 species